rnacentral:rRNA from 1 species
UACGGGGGGAGCAAGCGUUGUUCGGAUUUACUGGCGUAAAGGGCGCGUAGGCGGCCACUCGCAAGUCAGUUGUGAAAAUCUCCGGGCUUAACCCGGAAAGGUCAACUGAUACUGCAGGGCUAGAGUGCAGAAGGGGCAACUGGAAUUCUCGGUGUAGCGGUGAAAUGCGUAGGAUAAUCGAGAGGAACACCUGCGGCGAAGGCGGGAUUGCUGGGCUGACACGUGACGCUGGAUGUGCGAAAGCUAGGGAGCGAACGGG